AUUGAACGCUGGCGGCAGGCCUAACACAUGCAAGUCGAGCGAGCGGCGGACGGGUGAGUAAUGUAUGGGGACUGCCCGUUAGAGGGGGAUAACUCCUGGAAACGGUAGCUCAUACCGCAUACUAUCGGAUAACCCAUAUGGGAUUAGCUGGUAGGGGGGGUAAUGGCUCACCUAGGCGCCGAUCCCUAGCUGGUCUGAGAGGAUGAUCAGCCACACUGGGACUGAGACACGGCCCAGACUCCUACGGAGGCAGCAGUGGGGAAUAUUGCACAAUGGGCGCAAGCCUGAUGCAGCCAUGCCGCGUGUAUGAAGAAGGCCCUAGGGUUGUAAAGUACUUUCGGUCGGGAGGCGUUACCGACAGAAGAAGCACCGGCUAACUCCGUGCCAGCAGCCGCGGUAAUUC
rnacentral:rRNA from 1 species